rnacentral:rRNA from 1 species
AUUGAACGCUGGCGGCAGGCCUAACACAUGCACGUCGAGCGGAGCGGCGGACGGGUGAGUAAUGCCUAGGAAUCUGCCUGGUAGUGGGGGAUAACGUCCGUAAACGGGCGCUAAUACCGCAUACUAUCAGAUGACCCUAGGUCGGAUUAGCUAGUUGGUGGGGUAAAGGCCUACCAAGGCGACGAUCCGUAACUGGUCUGAGAGUAUGAUCGGGCGAACUGGAAUUGAGACACGGUCCAGACUCCUACGGGAGGCAGCAGUGGGGAAGAUUGGACAAGGGGCGAAAGCCGGAUCCAGCCAAGCCGAGUGUGUGAAGAAGGUCUUCGGAUUGUAAAGCACUUUAAGUUGGGAGGCGUUACCAACAGAAUAAGCACCGGCUAACUUAGUGCCAGCAGCCGCGGUAAUAC